rnacentral:rRNA from 1 species
GACGAACGCUGGCGGCGUGCUUAACACAUGCAAGUCGAACGGAAAGGCCCUGCUUUUGUGGGGUGCUCGAGUGGCGAACGGGUGAGUAACACGUGAGUAACCUGCCCUUGUCUUUGGGAUAACUUCAGGAAACUGGGGCUAAUAUCGGAUAGGAGCUCCUGCUGCAUGGUGGGGGUUGGAAAGAUUCGGCGGUUGGGGAUGGACUCGCGGCUUAUCCGCUUGUUGGUGGGGUAGUGGCUUACCAAGGCUUUGACGGGUAGCCGGCCUGAGAGGGUGACCGGCCACAUUGGGACUGAGAUACGGCCCAGACUCCUACGGGAGGCAGCAGUGGGGAAUAUUGCAGAAUGGGCGGAAGCCUGAUGCAGCAACGCCGCGUGCGGGAUGACGGCCUUCGGGUUGUAAACCGCUUUGGCCUGUGACGAAGCGUGAGUGACGGUAAUGGGUAAAGAAGCACCGGCUAACUACGUG